CAAAUCCCAAAACAUGCCCAUCCUGCGGCUACACAUAUUAAAACACACCCCAUUUCACUAUUCAUCAUCGAUGGUGCUAAAAUUGGCUGUACAACUCGUUUCUCAACAAGCACAAACACAACAAGUGACAAGAAUCCAAUUAUUAGUAAUAUAUAUACAUAUGGGACUUGCCAGCCUACUACUGGACCCUGGUUCCAUGAAAAAUUGAUUAGAACUAAACCGGAAACACCAAAGAAAGCCCCCAAGUAAUCAAACUUUUGCUUUUCCUCAACUUCAUCAGCUUCUAUGUGUGGUAUAGCAAAGUAACCAAUAAUCGCAAAUACUAUACACACAAUCGCUGUUGUCCAAUAUGUCCAUGGCCACCAGGAAAGUUGUGCAAAAAUACCAGAAAAAACUGAUCCCAAGAGAAAUCCAUUAGGAGCUGUAGCCCCAAAUAAAGCAAAUAUUAAAUUUUUCUUUUUCCCUGGUGGAUAUACUCGACCGAGAAGUGCAAGAGCAUUUGGCAGUAAGAAUGCAGGAGCAAUUCCGGUGAGCGCCCUACAUACAUCAAACAUAAUCACUGAUUUGGCGUAGUAGCUAAAUCCCGAAAUAAGGGACCAUAUGCAAAACCAAAUAUACCCUAACACAAACAUUUUCUUAUGUCCAUAAAUAUCACCUAGUCGACCCGCGAUUAAAAUAAAAGUGCCUACAGUUAAACUGUAUGAGGCAGGAAACCAACUUAGUUGACCAGGGUUUGUCGUACCCAGUGAUUUACCUAUGAUAUUGUUUGGAGCAAUUGAUUGACCUAAACCAGCUUGAGUCAUCAAUUGAGCAGUACAUGCUAUAAAUACAAACACUAUUUCGUGAAACAGUGACAUGGAAAUCUUCUGUACAGGAAGAGGAGUAUCUUCAUUUUGUACUAAGUCUUUAGACGAUUCUUUUUCCAUAUUGCGAGUAUUGUAUGUUCCUAAGGAUUUAACAUAAUUCAUCAUUUUUUACUUUGUUA